AACGUUUGUGCAGUUUUUUCUCUUUUCUCAAUUUUGUGUCUUUCAUGGAUGAUCCGUCUUUUUUGCAGAUAACUUAAUUAUCAUGUUUUUUUGGCAGCGGAUGAUCUGUGACGCAGCGGCGUUGUGCUCUGGCCAUGAGAUUUCAGUUGUCUUUGAAGCUAAAUAAUUUCUCUGGCACAGAUAAAUAAAUUCUCUGUGCUUGAUUUAUUUGUGAUUUGUGUGUAUGACCCUGUUUUAGUGGGUGCGCUUGCGAGCGGGUCUGAAAUCUAAUAAUAAUAAUAAUAAUAUUUGUA